rnacentral:rRNA from 1 species
UACGUAGGGUGCGAGCGUUGUCCGGAAUUAUUGGGCGUAAAGAGCUCGUAGGCGGUUUGUUGCGUCUAUCGUGAAAACCUGCAGCUUAACUGUGGGCUUGCGGUGGAUACGGGCAGACUUGAGUUCGGUAGGGGAGACUGGAAUUCCUGGUGUAGCGGUGAAAUGCGCAGAUAUCAGGAGGAACACCGGUGGCGAAGGCGGGUCUCUGGGCCGAUACUGACGCUGAGAAGCGAAAGCAUGGGGAGCGAACAGG